rnacentral:rRNA from 1 species
UACGAAGGGGGCUAGCGUUGUUCGGAAUUACUGGGCGUAAAGGGUCUGUAGGUGGCUUGCUAAGUCAGACGUGAAAUCCCUCAGCUUAACUGGGGAACUGCGCCUGAGACUGGCGAGCUUGAGGGCAGGAGAGGAACGCGGAAUUCCAGGUGUAGCGGUGAAAUGCGUAGAUAUCUGGAGGAACACCGGUGGCGAAGGCGGCGUUCUGGACUGCAUCUGACACUGAAAGACGAAAGCCAGGGGAGCAAACGGG